rnacentral:misc_RNA from 1 species
GUACAUGUGCUCGCCUUCACACUCUUCAUCCACUCAACCCCUGUGCACUUUAUCAGAGUUAGUAAUAGUAUUGUGGUGGCUGUUUGUUAUCCAUUGUUAGAAGCRGGCAAYCCUUUCUGGCAGUAGGCAUCAUCUCAGUUCAACUGCUACUAUGAACACUUUGACUUUAUUUAUACAAACACUUUGCUUGUUCUUGUGAAUGUGUAAUGCUCCUUGUGAGCGAAAUACAAAUAUACAACUUUCAACAACGGAUCUCUUGGCUCUCGCAUCGAUGAAGAACGCAGCGAAAUGCGAUAAGUAAUGUGAAUUGCAGAAUUCAGUGAAUCAUCGAAUCUUUGAACGCACCUUGCGCCCCUUGGUAUUCCGAGGGGCAUGCCUGUUUGAGUGUCAUGUCAUUCUCAAUCCUCUUUUUCUUAAUUGAAGAAGAGGCUUGGACUUGGAGGGUACAUCUAUGCUGGUACUGUCUGUAUCGGCUCCUCUCAAAUGCAUUAGCUGGACUGUAGUUCGCAUUGUUUGGUGUAGUAAUAGUUUUCUAUCUAUAUUCACUACAGUGCUUGCUUAGACUGUCUGCUUCCAAUAGUCCACCUAUGUGU